AUAAAAAUAAAUAUUAUUGGUUUAGCAGUUAAAUAUAAUUUUCCUUUAAAUUUGAAGUUUUUAGGUGAAAUUUUAAUUUUAUAUAAAUAGGAUUUGAUUGAAGCUGUGAAAUUUAAUUUCAAAACAAGGAUUAGAUACCCUUUUAUUUUAAAUUUAAAUAUUAAAAACCUGGGUAGUAAUAGUUAUGUUCUUGAAACCCAAAGAAUUUGGCGGUAUUUUAUUCUUUUUAGAGGAACCUGUCCUAUAAUUGAUAAUCCACGAUAGGAAGUUACUUAUUUUUGUAUUCAUUUUGUAUACCUCCGUCAUCAGAGUAUCUUUUUAGAGGUAAUAUUCUUAAUAUAAUAAAUAUUAUAUGUCAGGUCAAGGUGCAAAUUAUAAAUAAGUAGAGAUGGGUUACAAUAAAUUUAUUUAAACGGAAUAUUAUUAUUACUAAUAAUAUGAAGGUGGAUUUAAAAGUAAAAUUAUUUCCUUUAUUAAUUUGAUUUUAGCUCUAAAAUGUGCACACAUCGCCCGUCGCUCUUAUUUUAAAAUAAGAUAAGUCGUAACAUAGUAGGUGUACCGGAAGGUGUUCCUAGACUGGUA
rnacentral:rRNA from 1 species